rnacentral:rRNA from 1 species
UACAGAGGGGGCGAGCGUUGUUCGGAAUUACUGGGCGUAAAGGGCGCGUAGGCGGCCUCUUAAGUCGAACGUGAAAUCCCCGGGCUCAACCCGGGAACUGCGUCCGAUACUGGGGGGCUUGAAUCCGGGAGAGGGAUGUGGAAUUCCAGGUGUAGCGGUGAAAUGCGUAGAUAUCUGGAGGAACACCGGUGGCGAAGGCGGCAUCCUGGACCGGUAUUGACGCUGAGGCGCGAAAGCUAGGGGAGCAAACGGG